rnacentral:rRNA from 1 species
GACGAGCCUGACGAACGUUAUUCGGAAUCACUGGGCUUAAAGGGUGCGUAGGCGGUGCGGAGAGUCGGGUGUGAAAUACCUCAGCUUAACUGAGGAACUGCACUCGAUACUUCCGUGCUAGAGUAAGACAGAGGUGAGUGGAACUGAGGGUGGAGCGGUGAAAUGCGUAGAGAUCAGGAGGAACACCCGUGGCGAAGGCGGCUCCCUGGUCCGUUUCUGACGCUGAGACGCGAAAGCGCGGGGAGCGAACGGG